GAGUACUCUGACUCUAACUAUGGUGAGGAUGAGGAAGUGAGUACUCUGACUCUAACUAUGGUGAGGAUGAGGAAGUGAGUACUCUGACUCUAAUUAAGGUGAGGAUGAGGAAGUGAGUACUCUGACUCUAACUAUGGUGAGGAUGAGGAAGUGAGUACUCUGACUCUAACUAUGGUGAGGAUGAGGAAGUGAGUACUCUGACUCUAAUUAAGGUGAGGAUGAGGAAGUGAGUACUCUGACUCUAACUAUGGUGAGGAUGAGGAAG